GGCCCAGUAGCGGAUGGUCCGCGCCUGCUUCCUUUGGUUGCACUCAAAAAAAGUUCCCAACGCAGGAAUCGCUCGUUCGAAUCGAGCCUGGGCCU